UUCUCUGUGUAGGAAUGUCGAAACGCGACGAAAUUUGGCGUGCUAGAUUCGCGACUUCGAGACGAAGAUUCUGAUCCCAAGAUUGCGAUUUUUGGAGCAGGUUCCAGCGUCGACGUUUCGUAUUCUGGCCCGUUCUCUGCGUAGGAGCGUCGGAAUUCAGCGAAACCUGGACCAUUGGAUUCGUGACUUUGAGACGAAGCUUCAGAACCCUUGUUUGCUGAAUUUGGAUAAGCAGGAGAACCGGGGACUUCGACGGACCAGCAAGGGAUC